UCGAGCGAGGUUAGAGAGCUUGCUCUCGAAGCCUAGCGGCGAACGGUCGCGUAACACGUAAGCAACCUGCCCUGAAGUUGGGGAUAGCCCUCCGAAAGGAGGAUUAAUACCGGAUGUGGAUACUUUAUCGCAUGAUUUAGUAUCUAAAGCAGUAAUGCGCUUCAGGAUGGGCUUGCGGCCUAUCAGCUAGUUGGUGAGGUAAUGGCCCACCAAGGCGACGACGGGUAGCUGGUCUGAGAGGAUGGUCAGCCGGACUGGGACUGAGAUACGGCCCAGACUCCUACGGGGGGCAGCAAUUAGGAAUCUUGCGCAAUGGGCGAAAGCCUGACGCAGCGACGUCGCGUGACCGAUGAAGUCUUUCGGGAUGUAAAGGUCUUUUCUGGGGGAAGAAGGAUGUGACGGUACCCCAGGAAUAAGCCCCGGCUAACUACGUGCCAGCAGCCGCGGUAAUACGUAGGGGGCGAGCGUUGUCCGAAUUCACUGGGCGUAAAGCGCGCGUAGGCGGAUAUUUAAGUUGUGGGUGAAAUCCCGAGGCUCAACCUCGGAACUGCCUGCAAAACUGGAUAUCUUGAGGUAUGAAGAGGGAAGUGGAAUUCCAGGUGUAGCGGUGAAAUGCGUAGAUAUCUGGAGGAACACCCGUGGCGAAGGCGGCUUCCUGGUCAUAUCCUGACGCUGAGGUGCGAAAGCCAGGGGAGCGAACGGGAUUAGAUACCCCGGUAGUCCUGGCCGUAAACGAUGGAUACUAGGUGUUAGAGGUAUCGACCCCUCUAGUGCCGCAGCUAACGCAUUAAGUAUCCCGCCUGG
rnacentral:rRNA from 1 species